UACGAAGGGGGCUAGUGUUGCUCGGAAUUACUGGGCGUAAAGGGCGCGUAGGCGGACAGUUUAGUCAGAGGUGAAAGCCCAGGGCUCAACCUUGGAAUUGCCUUUGAUACUGGCUGUCUUGAGUUCGGGAGAGGUGAGUGGAAUGCCGAGUGUAGAGGUGAAAUUCGUAGAUAUUCGGCGGAACACCAGUGGCGAAGGCGACUCACUGGCCCGAUACUGACGCUGAGGCACGGAAGCGUGGGGAGCAAACAGG
rnacentral:rRNA from 1 species